CACCAUAAUGGUGUUUAGCCUU
rnacentral:siRNA from 1 species